AUGUUCUUUGCAAAGUGGCCGCUGCGUGUUGAGGUCCACUCUCUCUGGCCCCCUCCCUGCUGGGCCAGCUGCUGGCACGGCUGUCCAGGCAGGCUCCCUGCCCCCACGUGCAGGAAUUCAGCCCCGGGUUUGCUGAACGCAAACACACUCAGCAUCACGCUGGGCAGAGCCCCUGUGCUCGGGGUGCUGGCUGCAUGUGGACACGGAGGCCUGGACCUCCCCUCACGCUCCUUAGCUUCCCAUUCAGGCGGCCCCUGGCCACCAUGCUCCGCCCUUGGGCUGGGCCACAGCAGGGCUCCCGGCUCCCCCUUACUCGGCUGCAGCCCUGUGUGUGCACUGGCCCCUGUACAGCUGCUCCCAGCUGCCAGNGCCCUCACACGCCGGGUUCUGAGUCCAGCACUGGGCAGUGCCAGGGACAGGGAGGAGGGGACCGCCUGUCCCACAGGCCACUGCUCCACGGAGCACCAGUUGACCCCAGACCCCCCAGAGCCAUGGGCCCUCCUCCCAGGCCCAGGGAAAUUGUCACCACCCCCCGGGAGGGCCCGUGCCAUAGCCCGGGAAAUAGCAACGCUUGGCUUGAUGGCUCUAAGGAACUGCGAUUAUCAAACAUCGUCCGAGGUGUUCACAGCCAGGUCUCUCCACGGCGGGGCCCUGAGACCCUCGCCAGCACAGUCACCCCCAGUGAGGAGUAAGUGGACCUCACCGCGAGGCCAUUGUCCUCAGCUCUGGGCCCACAUCCCUCCUCUGGCCCUAAGCCCCCUGACCCCCACUGGUCCCACAUGGUGGCUCAGGGCUGGCCCUGCCCUUGCACAGCCCCCAGCCCGCUCCCUCUCCCGGCCAGGCCUGACCCAGGCAGCCUCUGGACCACAUCCACCUGCCACUUUUGCCCCCACUCCCCCCUUUCCAACCUCCCUCUGAAAAUUCCCCAGCCACCCCAUUCCAGCCGAGACCUCCCCAUCCCCCCAGUCACCCCAGAAGUGUUCACACAGUGGGGCCGGGCGUCGACCUGAGUUCACUACCAGGUCCAGGGCCAGGACCUCACACCAGCAGGAACCUGAACAGGAAGGCUGAGCAGGUGCUGGGCCUCCGUUGGCUGAGAGGAAGGGGCUCAUGGGAGGUGAGAACUGGUGUUCACUCUGACCCCGUUCUCCGAGCUCCUCCUGUGUGCUGGGCCUGCGGCUGAGACUUCACGUGUGUUUUUCAUUAUUUGCUGACGUGGCACAGAAACAGAGCAUCGAUUCAUACUGAUAUAUGAGGAAGCUGUUAACGGAGUAGAUCCUAAGAGUUCUCAUCGUAAGGAAAAUUCUUUCAAAAUUUUCUCUUGAUUUUUUUCCUUUUUGUCUCUACAUGAGCUGAUGGUGCAGACUGGUUGGUUCUAUCGCUGUCACUUCCCACUCUUUGCGAGCCCAUGAACCGCAGCACGCCAGGCCUCCCUGUCCUCCACCAUCUCCCGGAGCUUGCUCAAACUCAUGUCCAUCGAGUCGGUGAUGCCAUCCAGCCAUCUCAUCCUCUGUCGUCCCCUUCUCCUCCUGCCUUCAAUCUUUCCCAGCAUCAGAGUCUUUUCCAAUGAGUCAGUUCUUCACAUCAGGUGGCCAAAGGAUUGAAACUUCAGCUCAGCAUCAGUCCUUCCAAUGAACACCCAGGACUGAUUUCCUUUAGGAUGGACUGGUUGGCUCUCCUUGCUGUCCAAGGGACUCUCAAGAGUCUUCUCCAACACCACAGUUCAAAAGCAUCAAUUAUUCAGCGCUCAGCUUUCCUUAUGGUCCAACUCUCAACUCUCACAUCCAUACAGUCAGCUUUCCUUAUGGUCCAACUCUCACAUCCAUACAGGACUACUAGAAAACCAUAGCUUUGACUAGACAGACUUUUUGUUGGCAAAGUGAUGUCUCUGCUUUUUAAUAUGCUGCCUAGGUGGGUCAUAGCUCUUCUUCUAAGGAGCAAGCGCCUUUUAGUUUCAUGGCUGCAGUCACCAUCCACAGUGAUUUUGGAGCCCAGAAAAAUAAAACCAGUUACUUCACCUUUCCCCCAUCUAUUCAUCAUGAAGUGAUGGGACCAGAGGCCAUAAUUCUGAAUGUUGAGUUCUAAGCCAACUUUUUCACUCUCUUCUUUUACUCUCAUCAAGUAGCUCUUUAGUUCUUCUUCACUUUCUGCCAUAAAGGUGGCGUCAUCUGCAUAUCUGAGGCUAUUGAUAUUUCUCCCAGUUAUCUUGAUUCCAACUUGUCAUUCAUCUAGCCUGGCAUUUUGCAUGAUGUAAUCUGCAUGUGAGUUAAAUAAACAGGGUAACAGUAUAUAGCUUUGUCAUACUCUUUUCCCAAUUUUGAACCAGUCUGUUUUUCCUUAUCUGGUUCUAACUGUUGCUUCUUGGCCCACAUACAGGUUUCUUAGGAGGCAGGUAGGGUGGUCUGGUGUUUCCACCUCUUGAAGAAUUUUCUACAGUUCGUUGUGAUCCACGCAAAGGCUUUAGCAUAGUGUGGUAACAGAAGUAGAUAUUUUUCUGGAAUUCUCUGGCUUUCUUUUUGAUUCACUGAAGGUUGGCAAUUUGCUCUCUGCUCCCUCUGCUUCUUUUAAACCCAGCUGGUCCAUCUGGAAGUUCUCGGUCAUGUACUGCUGAAGCCUAGCUUGGAGGAUUUUGAGCAUGACCGUGCUAGCAUGUGAAAUGAGCACAGCUGUGCGGCAGUGUGAACAUUCUUUGGCGUCGCCUUUCUCUGAGAUUGGAAAGAAGAUUGACCUUUUCCAGUCCUGUGGACGCAGCUGAGUUUCAAGUUUGCUGACACUGCACAGAAACACAGCACUGAUUUAUGCUGGUGCACACGCGAGCUGUUCACAGAGGUCUCAGGAGUUCUCACCGCAAGAAAACAUUGUUUCAGAUUUUCUUUUGGCUUUUCCCCUUGUUGCCUCUAUGUGAGCUCGGGGAUACUAACCAGACUCACGGAGGGAGUCGUUUCACGCACGGGUUAGUCAGACCACCAUGCUGUUUACACCUACACAGUGAUGUAAGGUAAUUCUGUUAAUUAUAUCUCAGAAAAGCUGAAAAAUUACCUUGUGUAUUCUGUGACAUGAUUGGGCUUUGGGAACAGUGGCUGAGGUUGACGCAGGUGGGGCUGGGGACGCUGGGUCCUGAUGCCCGUCUGGGCAGCGCCUCAUGGACCGGCCUCCAACAGCGACGCCUGGUGGAAGGGGCGGGAAGUGCAGUGGGUGGAACGUGCGCUCCGCCCCGUUCCCUGCCCGCUGGACUAAGAGGGAGGCGGAGCUGUGGGCCUCGGGGCAGGGGUGGGGGGUCUCAGAGAGGAAGCACUAGUCUUCUCGCUGUCAGGCGUGUAUGUCAUCAGUGAUACACAUAUAAUGUGUGUGUGUGUGUGUGUGUGUGCUUAGUAACUCAGUUGUAUCCAACUCUUUUGUGACCCCACGGACUGUCGCCUGCCAGCCUCCUCUGUCCAUGGGAUUUUCCAGGCAGGAAUACUGGAGUGGCUUGCCAUUUCCUUCUCCAGGGGAUCUUCCCCACCCAGGGACUGAACCUGGGUCUCCUGUACUGGCACGUGGAUUCUUUACCAUCUGAACCACCAGGGAAACUCAUAUGUGUAUGUGUGUGUUUGUGUGUGAAAUACAUAUAUAUGUACAUACACAUAUACAUGAAACUAAAGGAGAUUCCCCACGAGGAUUAUGGAUUCUAAAGGGAAUAACUGCAAAAGACUCUAAAAUAAGCAAAACACAAAAUUAGUUCCUUUUCUAAGAGCGCUGGAGCCUUGGAAAGCUGUCUGAUCCCACAGAGGUGCGUGCCUUCGUCUGUGGCUAGGCCAUCCUAUGACUCUGAGGAGACAGGUGUUUACCUGGAGAAAACUGUUAGCAAUGCAAACACUUCCUCCAGGUCAGUUCAGUUCAGUCGCUCAGUUGUGCCCAACUGUUUGCUACCCCACGGACUGCAGCACGCCAGGCCUCCCUGUCCAUCACCAACUCCUGGAGUUUACUCAAACUCAAGUCCAUUGAGUCGGUGAUGCCAACCAACCAUCUCAUCCUCUGUCGUCCCCUUCUCCUCCUGCCUUCAAUCUUUCCCAGCAUCAGGGUCUUUUCAAAUGAGUCAGCUCUUC
rnacentral:lncRNA from 1 species